UUUUAUUUGAGAGUUUGAUCCUGGCUCAGGAUGAACGCUGGCGGCGUGCCUAACACAUGCAAGUCGAGCGAUUCUCUUCGGAGAAGAGCGGCGGACGGGUGAGUAACGCGUGGGUAACCUGCCCUGUACACACGGAUAACAUACCGAAAGGUAUGCUAAUACGAGAUGAUAUAUUUUUAUCGCAUGAUAAAAAUAUCAAAGCUUUUGCGGUACAGGAUGGACCCGCGUCUGAUUAGCUAGUUGGUAAGGUAACGGCUUACCAAGGCGACGAUCAGUAGCCGACCUGAGAGGGUGAUCGGCCACACUGGAACUGAGACACGGUCCAGACUCCUACGGGAGGCAGCAGUGGGGAAUAUUGCACAAUGGGCGAAAGCCUGAUGCAGCAACGCCGCGUGAGCGAUGAA
rnacentral:rRNA from 1 species